CAAGACAUGAAGUUAGGUCAGCAAACCCGCUGAAUUUAAGCAUAUAAGUAAGCGGAGGAUAAGAAACUAAAUAGGAUUCCCUCAGUAAUGGCGAAUGAACAGGGAUAAGCUCAGUAUGGAAAUUGGGGCCUCUGGCCUUGAAUUGUAGUCUUGAGAUGGCAUUGCCAGCGGAGGCGCAGAUGUAAGCCUAUUGGAAAAUAGCAUCAGUGAGGGUGAGAGUCCCGUUUGUCAUCUGCAGUCCCCCGUGCACGGUGUGCUUUCUAAGAGUCACGUUCCUUGGGAUUGGAGCGCAAAUUGGGUGGUAAAUUUCAUCUAAAGCUAAAUAUUGGUUCGAGACCGAUAGCAAACAAGUACCAUGAGGGAAAGGUGAAAAGGACUUUGAAAAGAGAGUUAAAAGUGCCUGAAAUUGCUGAAAGGGAAGCGAAUGGAACCAGUCUUCUUGGUGAGAUUGGUGCACGCUAUGGUGAUUGCCUGCUGCUUCAACGCAAGUGUUGCAGUGGGUUUUGAUCCUGACGUGUGUGCUGCUUCUUACCUCGUGUGUCAACGUCGGUUCGGAAUUGAGGAAAACUCUAGGGACAUGGUAUCUCUGUUGCGGCGGAGUGAAUGUGCCUGGUAGAACUCAUUUCUUAACUGAUUUCUGCAUGUCUGGUCGCAGUGUUUCAUUACCUGUUUCUGGUUCUGCGCUUGUAGCUUCUGUUGCAAGUUGUGGUUCUGGUCCUGGUCGUGGAGCAUCUNNCUGACAUUAGUACGAUGACAAAAUGGUUUCAUUCGACCCGUCUUGAAACACGGACCAAGGAGUCUAACAUAUGUGCAAGUUCAUGGGUGUUAAACCUAAUUGCGCAAUGAAAGUGACUGCUGGGAUAUUUGCACCAGCAACCGACCAAUCAAUUGUGAGAGGUUUGAGUAUGAGCAUAUCUGUUAGGACCCGAAAGAUGGUGAACUAUGCGUGAGAAGGGUGAAGUCAGGGGAAACUCUGAUGGAGGCUCGUAGCGAUACUGACGUGCAAAUCGUUCGUCAUACUUGCGUAUAGGGGCGAAAGACUAAUCGAACCAUCUAGUAGCUGGUUCCCUCCGAAGUUUCCCUCAGGAUAGCUGGAGUUGAACAGUUUUAUCAGGUAAAGCGAAUGAU
rnacentral:rRNA from 1 species